rfam:Oryza punctata chromosome 7, whole genome shotgun sequence.
CUAUUUCGCAUUUCUAAGUUUUCGUGUUCAACUUUAAUCAUUCGUUUUAUUUAAAAAAAUUAUGAUUAGUAUUUUUUAUUAGAUGAUAAAAUAUUAAUAUUACUUUUUACGUGAUAUAUAUUUUUAAUUUUUUUAAAACUGUUUCAAAUAAGAUGAACGAUUAAAAUUAGACACGAAAACUCAUAUCUAUACUUAUA